rnacentral:tRNA from 1 species
GGGAGCUUGGCUCAGUUGGAAGAGCGCAGGUCUCAUACGGCAGUAUGAUCUGGAUGAACUCCAGAGUUAUCCUGAGGUCGUGAGUUCGAGCCUCACAGUUCCCA